CACAUCCUUGUUCCCAGAGAAUCCUUCAAUGGCACAAACCCUUGAAAACACGACUGACAUGUAAAAGAAUGGCGGAGUUUCCCGAAGGACCGUGUUUGUACCGUGGAGAGCCAAACGAUACCCGGUUUACCGAUUUCUCGGGCACGCGCGAGUACUCCAGUAAGUUGCUCUCUUUGUUGUUAUUUAGUUGUAUGUAGAGGGCGGGACUCGAACUGAAAUGAACAAGGCGCGGCCAAGAACCCCCUUCCUUCACACGUGUAGACAAAGGGACCCAUCAACACAACCCAAACAUGCAGGGAAAAGUUUUCCCGUGCGCGCGACUUCACGCCAGGACCUCGCGAAGCGCCCAGGCCAGCGCGGGACUGCGAGUACUGGAUAACUUCUGUUUCAACGCACGCCCUUUGAAGGAUUUAUUUAAUCAUUAUUUUUCGCUGUGGAAUAUUAUUACUUUUCUUCGGGAUUAUUGGACUAUUCAUAAUGAGAAUGAUUACUUUCAACGUACAACAUGGACAAACAAAAGCAAGUGUGGAGCUGGACAGCGCACUGCUUCCGCGGGAAACACGCAGAGCCGCACUGCAGCCCUCUUCUUUAUCAAAUGAAAGUGUGGGAUGAGUCAUCCCAUCAUCUUCCUCUAACUCUUCACCAGAGUCGAGGAUCGAGUGAGCUCAGACAACUCUUCACCAGAGUCGAGGAUCGAGUGAGCUCAGACUGCGUCGGAAGCAGCCAAGCAUCCCGCCUCACGGCGUCUCUCCGCGAUGAUGUCAUUAGCAGCCAAUCAAACGCAAGCGGGAAUCGUACGAGCCAAUGGCACGCCGGGUGGCCCCGCCCACCGCACGUUCUGUCCAUGUUGGAAAUGAAGUAA
rnacentral:lncRNA from 1 species